GUGUAAAUAUAAAUAGGAAUGAACUUUUUUUCAACUAUCAGGUAUCCCAAAAGUCUUAGUGUCAUUUUAAGUUAUUACAGUUCCUAAAGGUAUCUGCACUGCAGGUGAUCCAAAGAAUGAUGGAGACAUGUAUGAUGGGAUCAAAUAGGCUGCAGCAUGUUUCCAAUGAUAAACUUCACUUGGAAUGUAGCCUACAAGAAUAGAAAAAUGUUGAUUUGGAGAAGAAGGUGGCUCUGUGGAGUAGUGACAGUGAAGUAUAACAGAAAGAUAGCUCCAAAGUUCCAAUGUAUGACCUUCACCCUGGAAAUAAUAGACCAAAAAUGAUUUAUAGGAAAAUGAUAUCCAAGACAAGAAAGGAGAUAACAAGAAAGUCCCUAUCUGCCCUUAAUGAAUCCAAGUCACCUGGCCCAGAUGAAUGACUUCCUUGAAUCCUGAAAAAAACUGACAGAUGGGAUUGCUGAGCCAGUAUCAAUGAUAUAUGAAAGACCAGUGAAAAUGGGAGAGGUGACACAAGACUGGAAAGAGGACAAAUGUCUGAAUUUCCAAAAACGGAGAAAAUUAAAUCUUCAAAAUAUAGUCUGAAUUGUUUGACUUAAUAAUUCCUCAAAAACAAUGUAGAAUGGAUCAUUAAUGAUAUGUUUGUCAAACAUCAAGAAAGGGAAGCAGUGAUUACCAAGAGCCAAUAUGUCUUCAUCAAAGACCAGGAAUGCCAAUUAAUA
rnacentral:lncRNA from 1 species